GUCCAAACACUGAUUCCAUCUCAUGAUCCCAUAUCAUGAUAUGGUAUCGCAUGUAGGAAUUUGGUCAUGUGAUACCAUAUCACGCUAUGAAAUCAUGAGAUGGAAUCAGUGUUUGGACAU